rnacentral:rRNA from 1 species
GACGAACGCUGGCGGCGUGCCUAAUACAUGCAAGUCGAACGCUGAAGAGAGGAGCUUGCUCUUCUUGGAUGAGUUGCGAACGGGUGAGUAACGCGUAGGUAACCUGCCUUGUAGCGGGGGAUAACUAUUGGAAACGAUAGCUAAUACCGCAUAACAAUGGAUGACACAUGUCAUUUAUUUGAAAGGGGCAAUUGCUCCACUACAAGAUGGACCUGCGUUGUAUUAGCUAGUAGGUGAGGUAACGGCUCACCUAGGCGACGAUACAUAGCCGACCUGAGAGGGUGGUCGGCCACACUGGGACUGAGACACGGCCCAGACUCCUACGGGAGGCAGCAGUAGGGAAUCUUCGGCAAUGGGGGCAACCCUGACCGAGCAACGCCGCGUGAGUGAAGAAGGUUUUCGGAUCGUAAAGCUCUGUUGUAAGUCAAGAACGAGUGUGAGAGUGGAAAGUUCACACUGUGACGGUAGCUUACCAGAAAGGGACGGCUAACUACGUG